rnacentral:rRNA from 1 species
UCCGUGCCNGCAGCCGCGGUAAUACGGAGGGUGCAAGCGUUACUNGGAAUCACUGGGCGUAAAGGACGCGUAGGCGGAUUAUCAANUCUCUUGUGAAAUCUAACGGCUUAACCGUUAAACUGCUUGGGAAACUGAUAAUCUAGAGUAAGGGAGAGGCAGAUGGAAUUCUUGGUGUAGGGGUAAAAUCCGUAGAUAUCAAGAAGAAUACCUAUUGCGAAGGCGAUCUGCUGGAACUUAACUGACGCUAAUGCGUGAAAGCGUGGGGAGCAAACAGGAUUAGAUACCCUGGUAGUCCACGCCCUAAACGAUGUAUACCGGUUGUUGCUGUGCUAGUCACGGCAGUAAUCCACCUAACGGAUUAAGUAUACCGCCUGGGGAGUACGGUCGCAAGAUUAAAACUCAAAGGAAUAGACGGGGACGCGCACAAGCGGUGGAGCAUGUGGUUUAAUUCGAAGAAACGCGAAGAACCUUACCCGGACUUGAUAUCUAACAAAUCAUCCAGAGAUGGAAGAGUGUCUGCUUGCAGAAAUGUUAAGACAGGUGCUGCACGGCUGUCGUCAGCUCGUGUCGUGAGAUGUUGGGUUAGGUCCCGCAACGAGCGCAACCCACGUCAUUAGUUGCUAACGGUUCGGCCGAGCACUCUAAUGAGACUGCCUUCGUAAGGAGGAGGAAGGUGUGGACGACGUCAAGUCAUCAUAGCCCUUAUGUCCGGGGCGACACACGUGCUACAAUGGCAUAUACAAUAAGACGCAAUAUCGUAAGAUGGAGCAAAUCUAAAAAAUAUGUCCCAGUUCGGAUUGGAGUCUGCAACUCGACUCCAUGAAGCCGGAAUCGCUAGUAAUCGUAGAUCAGCCAUGCUACGGUGAAUACGUUCCCGGGUCUUGUACUCACCGCCCGUCACACCAUGGGAGUUGAUNUCACUCGAAGCGGGAAUGCGAANUUCGCU